CUCGUUUGUUGACUGCCUUUUGCCACCUCGACUACUUAAGAGAUGUCUGCUUGUAAAAAGUGUGAAUGUUGGCAGAAAUGAAGCUCCAAAUUCAUUAUUGGCAUGACAAUGAACGCAGACACACUGCCAGUGCAGUGCAAGGACACCUGAAUAGAAAAUUACACAGUGGAGUAAUAUCAGUCAUGGACUGACUUCACCUGGGGCCCAGACGUCAAUGUUUUUGAAGCAUUGUGGGAUCAUCUCGGCAGAGAAUGGAACAAAAAGCAGCCAACUUCCAAAGAAGAGCUUUGAAUGUCCCAGAGAACUAUUCCUGAAGACCACUGAAGAAAUUACAAGAAAACUUACCUAAAGGUGUUCAGGCUGUGUUGGAGAAUAAAGGUCCUGGCGUGCUGGUCAAAUAGGGGAGGCAUGAUCUGAUGAUCAUCUCCAGCUGCACUGGCCAGCCUUCCCUGGCACUGCCCCUUACUCACUCCCACAUCCUGACACGAUAUGAUUGAAACCAUUGCAGCCCAGUACCUUUAAUAACUAUGGCACGUUCUAAUCCCUGUAAUAAAAUAUUGUGGUCAACAGUAUUGAAUGCUGCAUUGAGGUCCAGCAGGACAUGCACAGUGAGUCCACUGUCAAAGGACAUAAAAAGAUCAUUUGUAGCCUUCAUUAGUAAUGUUUCAGUACCUUGAGGAGUUUUGAAAAUUCUUAAAACUCUUAAAUAAACUAGUCCUCUGCAGAUGAUCAGUUAGCUGUUUUACAACUACUCUUCCAAGAUUUUAGAUAAAAAGGAAGGUUGUACAUUGGCCUAUAAUUAGUUAAGACAUUUGGGUCAAGUGAUGACUUUUUAAAUAAUGGUUUAAUUACUGCUGCCUUAAAAGGCCUGUGGUACAGAGCCCAUUAUUAAAGAUAAAUUGAUCAUAUUUAAGAUUUAAGAUUUAAGCAUUAAUUGAAGCAUUAAUUAAUGAUGGGACUUUUUUGAGCAGUCUUGUAGGAAUGGGGUUUGAUAGACACACUGGGUAUUUGGAGGAAGUGAUUAUUGAAGUUAGCUUAGAAAGAUCA